rnacentral:rRNA from 1 species
UACGUAGGGUGCGAGCGUUGUCCGGAAUUACUGGGCGUAAAGAGCUCGUAGGUGGUUUGUCGCGUUGUCCGUGAAAACUCACAACUCAAUUGUGGGCGUGCGGGCGAUACGGGCAGACUGGAGUACUGCAGGGGAGACUGGAAUUCCUGGUGUAGCGGUGAAAUGCGCAGAUAUCAGGAGGAACACCGGUGGCGAAGGCGGAUCUCUGGGCCUUACCUGACACUGAGGCACGAAAGCGUGGGGAGUCAAACAGG